UACAGAGGGGGCAAGCGUUGUUCGGAAUUACUGGGCGUAAAGGGCGCGUAGGCGGCCUUCUAAGUCGAACGUGAAAUCCCCGGGCUCAACCCGGGAACUGCGUCCGAUACUGGAAGGCUUGAAUCCGGGAGAGGGAUGCGGAAUUCCAGGUGUAGCGGUGAAAUGCGUAGAUAUCUGGAGGAACACCGGUGGCGAAGGCGGCAUCCUGGACCGGUAUUGACGCUGAGGCGCGAAAGCCAGGGGAGCGAACGGG
rnacentral:rRNA from 1 species